rnacentral:rRNA from 1 species
CCUACGGGCGGCAGCAGUGGGGCAUUUUGGGCAAUGGACGCAAGUCUGACCCAGCAACGCCGCGUGCCGGAAGAAGGCUUUCGGGUUGUCAACUUCUUUUAAGGGGGAAGAGCAGAAGACGUUACCCCUUGAAUAAGCCACGGCUAACUACGUGCCCGCCGCCGCGGUAAUACGUAGGUGGCAAGCGUUGUCCGGAUUUACUGGGUGGAAAGGGCGUGCAGCCGGAGAGCCACGUCAGAUGUUAAAUCCACGGGCUCAACCCGUGAACUGCAUGUGAAACUGUUUCCCUGGAGUGGCGGAGAGGUAAUCGGAAUUCCUUGGGUAGCGGGGAAAUGCGUAGAUAUAAGGAAGAACACCAGUGGCGAAGGCGGAUUACUGGACGAUAACUGACGGUGAGGCGCGAAAGCGUGGGGAGCAAACAGGAUUAGAUACCCCAGUAGUC